AAGUGGUAAUCAUAGAGAGAGACAGGGAACAAGCAGAGCAUGGAUUGAGUUUACUAAAACAUUAAACGACUCUGUUUUGUCUCUACCCAUGCACUGCCUCUUCCCUGGCUCCCUCUUUUCUCUCUCUGU